rnacentral:rRNA from 1 species
UACAGAGGUCUCAAGCGUUGUUCGGAUUCAUUGGGCGUAAAGGGUGCGUAGGCGGCCGUGCAAGUCUGGCGUGAAAGCCCCGGGCUCAGCCCGGGAAGUGCGCUCGAAACUGCGCGGCUCGAGUGCCGGAGGGGAGAGUGGAAUUCCUGGUGUAGCGGUGAAAUGCGUAGAUAUCAGGAGGAAUACCGGUGGCGAAAGCGACUCUCUGGACGGCAACUGACGCUGAGGCACGAAAGCGUGGGGAGCAAACAGG